UACGUAGGGGGCAAGCGUUGUUCGGAUUCACUGGGCGUAAAGGGUGCGUAGGCGGUCGGGUAAGUCUGGCGUGAAAUCUCCAAGCCUAACUUGGAAACUGCGUUGGAUACUAUCCGGCUCGAGGAAUGGAGGGGAGACUGGAAUACUUGGUGUAGCAGUGAAAUGCGUAGAUAUCAAGUGGAACACCAGUGGCGAAGGCGAGUCUCUGGACAUUUCCUGACGCUGAGGCACGAAAGCCAGGGGAGCAAACGGG
rnacentral:rRNA from 1 species